rnacentral:rRNA from 1 species
UACAGAGGGUGCGAGCGUUAAUCGGAAUUACUGGGCGUAAAGAGCACGUAGGCGGUUAGAUAAGUUGGAUGUGAAAUACCCGGGCUUAACCUGGGAGUGUCAUUCGAUACUGUUUAGCUAGAGUAGGGAAGAGGGAAGUGGAAUUCUCGGUGUAGCAGUGAAAUGCGUAGAUAUCGGGAGGAACACCGGUGGCGAAGGCGGCUUCCUGGUCCACUACUGACGCUGAGGUGCGAGAGCGUGGGGAGCAAACAGG